UGAUUACGGUCUGCGCGAGGCUUGACCAAUUAUAUGUCUUUUCGCGUUUUAGUUUCAGAAUGGACCUGCUGGUCUGGUGGUUGUGUGAGUGUUAGUGAACCUCUAGGUUUUGGAUUCGAGUUCUUGUGUGUGUGUUUUUGAGAAAUAUUUUUGUUUUGCUUUUUUUUGUUAAAUAGUAGUUUUGUUUUUAAGUUAAUAUUUUUAUUUUUAUUUUCUUUAAACGUUCUCCUCUUUCUUUUUCUUUUGUUUUCUUUUUGUUUUUUCUUCUUUCCUUUUUUGAAAAGGCUAGUGUUGUGGUUUUUGAAGAGCUUGAUUUCCUUGUCAUCGAGUCAGGUACUGGACGUCUUUAAUUGCAAAUCAAGUGUGGGUUUGGAACCUUUUAAAUUUUUUAUAACGAAUUGUAGCUUGUUUCUGUGAAAUUGGAAAUUGUUGUGUGCUUAUGGAAUCGAUCUUUCGAAAGGGGAGAUUAUCGUGG
rnacentral:lncRNA from 1 species